rnacentral:rRNA from 1 species
GAUGAACGCUGCCAGAAUGCUUAACACAUGCAAGUCUACUUGAACUUCGGUUUGGGUGGCGGACGGGUGAGUAACGCGUAAAGAACUUGCCUCACAGAUAGGGACAACAUUUGGAAACGAAUGCUAAUACCUGAUAUUAUGAUUUUAGGGCAUCCUAGAAUUAUGAAAGCUAUAUGCACUGUGAGAGAGCUUUGCGUCCCAUUAGCUAGUUGGAGAGGUAACGGCUCACCAAGGCGAUGAUGGGUAGCCGGCCUGAGAGGGUGAUCGGCCACAAGGGGACUGAGACACGGCCCUUACUCCUACGGGAGGCAGCAGUGGGGAAUAUUGGACAAUGGACCAAGAGUCUGAUCCAGCAAUUCUGUGUGCACGAUGAAGUUUUUCGGAAUGUAAAGUGCUUUCAGUUGGGAAGAAAAAAAUGACGGUACCAACAGAAGAAGUGACGGCUAAAUACGU